AUGAACGCUGGCGGCGUGCCUAAUACAUGCAAGUCGAGCGAACAGACGAGGAGCUUGCUCCUCUGACGUUAGCGGCGGACGGGUGAGUAACACGUGGAUAACCUACCUAUAAGACUGGGAUAACUUCGGGAAACCGGAGCUAAUACCGGAUAAUAUAUUGAACCGCAUGGUUCAAUAGUGAAAGACGGUUUUGCUGUCACUUAUAGAUGGAUCCGCGCCGCAUUAGCUAGUUGGUAAGGUAACGGCUUACCAAGGCAACGAUGCGUAGCCGACCUGAGAGGGUGAUCAGCCACACUGGAACUAAGACACGGUCCAGACUCCUAAGGGAGGCAACAGGAGGGAAUCUUCCGCAAUGGGCGAAAACUUGACGGAGCAACGCCGCGUGAGUGAUGAAGAUCUGCGGGUCGUAAAACUCUGUUAUUAGGGAGGAAAAAAUGUGUAAGUAACUAUGCACGUCUUGACGGUACCUAAUCAGAAAGCCACGGCUAACUACGUG
rnacentral:rRNA from 1 species